UACGGAGGGUGCAAGCGUUAUCCGGAUUUAUUGGGUUUAAAGGGUGCGUAGGCGGAUCUGUAAGUCAGUGGUGAAAUCUCACAGCUUAACUGUGAAACUGCCAUUGAUACUGCAGGUCUUGAGUGUUAUUGAAGUAGCUGGAAUAAGUAGUGUAGCGGUGAAAUGCAUAGAUAUUACUUAGAACACCAAUUGCGAAGGCAGGUUACUAAGCAACAACUGACGCUGAUGGACGAAAGCGUGGGGAGCGAACAGG
rnacentral:rRNA from 1 species